rnacentral:lncRNA from 1 species
GCGCGGUUCGCUCGCGGCUCAGACGUCACGUGUGAGGUCACGCGGUCUCUUCUUCGAUGGUAUUCUGCAGCGCUAUAAAUGCGGGCGCGCUAGUCACGGCGCUCUCUCACUUUUGCGAUGUUUCCGCGGAAGAGCGUCGGAGCGGCUGAACAUGAGGAACUCCGGCCGCUACAGGAAGGUAAGGUUGUACCAAAACGAGUCGUUGCGUGCAGUUUGUUGAAUUAUAUGAGUAUUCAAACUAGGUACUUAAUCAAAACGUCUGUUUCGAAAUGGUUGAUGCUAACUCGUGUGCGAGUUUCGGCACGUGGCUGCGUCCUUGCGGCUCUGGUACAGCGUGUGUGUUACAUGUGCUGGUGUGUUAGAUUCAAGAUCGUCCUGUUGUUGGAAAGAUGUGUGACGAUCUACGGGGAUCAAGUUCUCCUGCCCACUUUUAUUUAUUUUGUGAAGUUGAGCACUUAAAAGAGAUCAGUGCUCACUGUUAACGGUUCAAACUUUGUCGUCAUGACAUGCAGAUUAAUAAAAAUGUAUGCGUGUACAUAGGUGAUUUUUAACAACACUGCAACAAUGUGAAGAAUGAAGAGGUUCUGAAUGCACUUUAGGAGUUUUUGCUGUUUUGGCUCCUGGAGCGCCCCGUUCCAGCAGAGGUCCGGUCUAGCCCCUGUUAAACACCUGGACCAGAUCAAGCACUUCAGGAUCUCUACAGACUUCCAAGUGUGUUGCUGCUGAACUCUACUGGAAGGUAGUCUUCCAGGGUGAGGGCUGGACACAAUGCUUGAGCAUCUUUGAGGCUGGAGUGGUGCAAUGUUUUGUCUCAUUAAGUUCGGUUUUCAAACACUGGGAAUAAAAAUGUUACAUAGAAUGCAUUUUAAUGUCUAAAAACUGGGUAAAAAGUUUUAAAACUUGCCCCGAGGACACCCCUUGCCCUCCUCCAACCAAUUUUUUAUUAUUUUUCAGUGAAGACUUUGGCUGUUCUUUUAAAAAAAAAUAAACACUCUAAAAAGUGUACUUGUCUUGGCCUUUCCUGUAACGUGUCUGCCAGGCCUCAGGUUUGAGUAAUGCUGAAGUGAAUACUGAGAUGAUGUCUCCCUCUACUGUAACUAUUAGCAAAAGGAAACUGGGAGAGAACGGCUAUGCAUGUGUUCAUAUUUGAUCUGCAUUAAUCAUUGCUUUGUGUAUUCUGGUUUUCACCUGUGUUACUAGACGAUGAGUCCAGGCUUAACGGACACCACAUGCCUGGUGUUUGAUUAGCUGGAGUGUAGUCCCUGGAAACUAAAAAUUGCUUUAAAGUUAUUUAUUGAAGUGUUUACUCCUGUCAUGCAUAUCUUUUAAAAAAAAUGCUUCUGGUCUCUCACUGUGUAUUGUAAGUAUAGGCCUCUGCAUUGACUGGAAAACGCUCAUGAGGCAUCUUAACACAGCCAAGGCUGCUAUGAUCCGCCUCGGCUCACAGUGUUAAAGCAUACAGCUGUGUUCGAGUAACUGCGCUUAUGCCACCUCUGAGCAAUGUUAAUCUGUAUAGACUGUAUGCUGCCUUUGCAGUGUGACUUUGGCACUGUUCUGCAGAGACCAGAAAACCGGUUUUGCUAACGUUGGAGGUUUGCCUUAAAGCAGCUUUGAGUUGGAGGUGGUGUGCUUCCAUGCAACCGAGUCUCUUGGGAAAACCUUAUUUAACAGACUGGGGGGGGAUAAGAUUUUCAAGGAUGAGAUAAAAAAAAAAGUGCUGGAUUUGUUUUUUUUUUGAAUAUCUCAAAAGAUGUAGAGAUGUAUUAAUAUUUCACACAUAUAAGUUUCUACUGGAGGUCAGUGGCACAGGGACAUUGUUUUAUAGCCAUGGCCUGUCUGAGCUUUCUCAGAGAAGCGAGAGCGCUCUUGUUAAGCUCUGGCUGUUAUAUCCCAGCUAACAUUGCCAUUUCAAAGAAAUAGUUUUUCUAGCUUGCAUCCUCUUGGAACAGUUUAGGUGGCCCCUAACUUGGGCAAUGUUACAAACUUUAUUUGAGUUAGAAAUGGGGUUAAUUAGUGACUGUAGAUGAAC